rnacentral:rRNA from 1 species
GACGAACGCUGGCGGCGUGGAUUAGGCAUGCAAGUCGAACGGUAUCAUCCUUUCGGGGGUGAGAGAGUGGCGAACUGGUGAGUAACACGUAGGUUAUCUACCCUCAAGACGGGGACAACCCAGGGAAACUUGGGCUAAUACCGGAUGUGAGCAACUUUUAGUUGUUUGAAAGGUGGCGUAAGCUGUCGCUUGGGGAUGAGCCUGCGUCCUAUUAGUUAGUUGGUGAGGUAACGGCUCACCUAGGCAAUGAUAGGUAGGCGGCCUUAACGGGUGGUCGCCCACACUGGGAUUGAGAUACGGCCCAGACUCCUACGGGAGGCAGCAGUCGAGAAUAGUCUACAAUGGUCGGAAGACUGAUAGUGCGACGCCGCGUGAACGAUGAAUCCCUUCGGGGUGUAAAGUUCUUUUAUAUGUGAGCAGUGCUUCUUAUAUUAACAGUAUGGGGAGAGAGAUAUUAGCAUAUGAAUGAGCAACGGCUAACUCCGUGCCAGCAGCCGCGGUAA